rnacentral:tRNA from 1 species
GAGAGUGUAACAUGUUGUUACUUCUCGUUCAGCCUUCCAAGCUGAAGACGCGGGUUCGAUUCCCGUCGUUCCCUCCA